rnacentral:rRNA from 1 species
UUGAACGCUGGCGGCAGGCCUAACACAUGCAAGUCGAACGGUAACAGAAAGCAGCUUGCUGCUUUGCUGACGAGUGGCGGACGGGUGAGUAAUGUCUGGGAAACUGCCUGAUGGAGGGGGAUAACUACUGGAAACGGUAGCUAAUACCGCAUAACGUCGCAAGACCAAAGAGGGGGACCUUCGGGCCUCUUGCCAUCGGAUGUGCCCAGAUGGGAUUAGCUAGUAGGUGGGGUAAAGGCUCACCUAGGCGACGAUCCCUAGCUGGUCUGAGAGGAUGACCAGCCACACUGGAACUGAGACACGGUCCAGACUCCUACGGGAGGCAGCAGUGGGGAAUAUUGCACAAUGGGCGCAAGCCUGAUGCAGCCAUGCCGCGUGUAUGAAGAAGGCCUUCGGGUUGUAAAGUACUUUCAGCGGGGAGGAAGGGAGUAAAGUUAAUACCUUUGCUCAUUGACGUUACCCGCAGAAGAAGCACCGGCUAACUCCGUGCCAGCAGCCGCGGUAAUACGGAGGGUGCUAGCGUUAAUCGGAAUUACUGGGCGUAAAGCGCACGCAGGCGGUUUGUUAAGUCAGAUGUGAAAUCCCCGGGCUCAACCUGGGAACUGCAUCUGAUACUGGCAAGCUUGAGUCUCGUAGAGGGGGGUAGAAUUCCAGGUGUAGCGGUGAAAUGCGUAGAGAUCUGGAGGAAUACCGGUGGCGAAGGCGGCCCCCUGGACGAAGACUGACGCUCAGGUGCGAAAGCGUGGGGAGCAAACAGGAUUAGAUACCCUGGUAGUCCACGCCGUAAACGAUGUCGACUUGGAGGUUGUGCCCUUGAGGCGUGGCUUCCGGAGCUAACGCGUUAAGUCGACCGCCUGGGGAGUACGGCCGCAAGGUUAAAACUCAAAUGAAUUGACGGGGGCCCGCACAAGCGGUGGAGCAUGUGGUUUAAUUCGAUGCAACGCGAAGAACCUUACCUGGUCUUGACAUCCACGGAAGUUUUCAGAGAUGAGAAUGUGCCUUCGGGAACCGUGAGACAGGUGCUGCAUGGCUGUCGUCAGCUCGUGUUGUGAAAUGUUGGGUUAAGUCCCGCAACGAGCGCAACCCUUAUCCUUUGUUGCCAGCGGUCCGGCCGGGAACUCAAAGGAGACUGCCAGUGAUAAACUGGAGGAAGGUGGGGAUGACGUCAAGUCAUCAUGGCCCUUACGACCAGGGCUACACACGUGCUACAAUGGCGCAUACAAAGAGAAGCGACCUCGCGAGAGCAAGCGGACCUCAUAAAGUGCGUCGUAGUCCGGAUUGGAGUCUGCAACUCGACUCCAUGAAGUCGGAAUCGCUAGUAAUCGUGGAUCAGAAUGCCACGGUGAAUACGUUCCCGGGCCUUGUACACACCGCCCGUCACACCAUGGGAGUGGGUUGCAAAAGAAGUAGGUAGCUUAACCUUCGGGAGGGCGCUUACCACUUUGUGAUUCAUGACUGGGGUG